UACGGAGGGGGUUAGCGUUGUUCGGAAUGACUGGGCGUAAAGCGCACGUAGGCGGCUUUGUAAGUUAGAGGUGAAAGCCCGGAGCUCAACUCCGGAACUGCCUUUAAGACUGCAUCGCUUGAAUCCAGGAGAGGUGAGUGGAAUUCCGAGUGUAGAGGUGAAAUUCGUAGAUAUUCGGAAGAACACCAGUGGCGAAGGCGGCUCACUGGACUGGUAUUGACGCUGAGGUGCGAAAGCGUGGGGAGCAAACAGG
rnacentral:rRNA from 1 species